rnacentral:rRNA from 1 species
GAUGAACGCUGGCGGCGUGCCUAAUACAUGCAAGUCGAGCGAACAGAUGAGGAGCUUGCUCCUCUGACGUUAGCGGCGGACGGGUGAGUAACACGUGGAUAACCUACCUAUAAGACUGGGAUAACUUCGGGAAACCGGAGCUGAUACCGGAUAAUAUAUUGAACCGCAUGGUUCAAUAGUGAAAGACGGUUUUGCUGUCACUUAUAGAUGGAUCCGCGCCGCAUUAGCUAGUUGGUAAGGUAACGGCUUACCAAGGCAACGAUGCGUAGCCGACCUGAGAGGGUGAUCGGCCACACUGGAACUGAGACACGGUCCAGACUCCUACGGGAGGCAGCAGUAGGGAAUCUUCCGCAAAGGGCGAAAGCCUGACGGAGCAACGCCGCGUGAGUGAUGAAGGUCUUCGGAUCGUAAAACUCUGUUAUUAGGGAAGAACAAAUGUGUAAGUAACUAUGCACGUCUUGACGGUACCUAAUCAGAAAGCCACGGCUAACUACGUG